GCGGCGGACGGGUGAGUAACACGUGGGUAACCUGCCCAUAAGACUGGGAUAACUCCGGGAAACCGGGGCUAAUACCGGAUAAUAUUUUGAACCGCAUGGUUCGAAAUUGAAAGGCGGCUUCGGCUGUCACUUAUGGAUGGACCCGCGUCGCAUUAGCUAGUUGGUGAGGUAACGGCUCACCAAGGCAACGAUGCGUAGCCGACCUGAGAGGGUGAUCGGCCACACUGGGACUGAGACACGGCCCAGACUCCUACGGGAGGCAGCAGUAGGGAAUCUUCCGCAAUGGACGAAAGUCUGACGGAGCAACGCCGCGUGAGUGAUGAAGGCUUUCGGGUCGUAAAACUCUGUUGUUAGGGAAGAACAAGUGCUAGUUGAAUAAGCUGGCACCUUGACGGUACCUAACCAGAAAGCCACGGCUAACUACGUGCCAGCAGCCGCGGUAAUACGUAGGUGGCAAGCGUUAUCCGGAAUUAUUGGGCGUAAAGCGCGCGCAGGUGGUUUCUUAAGUCUGAUGUGAAAGCCCACGGCUCAACCGUGGAGGGUCAUUGGAAACUGGGAGACUUGAGUGCAGAAGAGGAAGUGG
rnacentral:rRNA from 1 species